AGUGAACGCUGGCGGUAGGCCUAACACAUGUAAGUCGAACGGCAGCACAGUAAGAGCUUGCUCUUACGGGUGGCGAGUGGCGGACGGGUGAGGAAUACAUCGGAAUCUACUUUUUCGUGGGGGAUAACGUAGGGAAACUUACGCUAAUACCGCAUACGACCUACGGGUGAAAGCAGGGGAUCUUCGUACCUUGCGCGAUUGAAUGAGCCGAUGUCGGAUUAGCUAGUUGGCGGGGUAAAGGCCCACCAAGGCGACGAUCCGUAGCUGGUCUGAGAGGAUGAUCGGCCACACUGGAACUGAGACACGGUCCAGACUACUACGGGAGGCAGCAGUGGGGAAUAUUGGACAAUGGGCGCAAGCAUGAUCCAGCCAUACCGCGUGGGUGAAGAAGGCCUUCGGGUUGUAAAGCCCUUUUGUUGGGAAAGAAAAGCAGCAGGUUAAUACCCCGCUGUUCUGACGGUACCCAAAGAAUAAGCACCGGCUAACUUCGUG
rnacentral:rRNA from 1 species